CAAGUCGAACGCGAAAGUCCCCUUCGGGGGAUUAGUAGAGUGGCGUCCGGGUGAGUAACACGUAGGUAAUCUACCUUCGGGUGGGGAAUAACGCAGGGAAACUUGCGCUAAUACCGCAUAAUGCAGCGGCACCACAUGGUGACAGUUGUUAAAGCGGGGGAUUUUAGGACCUCGCGCCUGAAGAGGAGCCUGCGGCAGAUUAGCUAGUUGGUAGGGUAACGGCUUACCAAGGCAACGAUCUGUAGCCGGCCUGAGAGGGCGGUCGGCCACACUGACACUGACAUACGGGUCAGACUCCUACGGGAGGCAGCAGUCGGGAAUUUUGGGCAAUGGGCGAAAGCCUGACCCAGCAACGCCGCGUGAAGGAUGAAAUCCCUCGGGAUGUAAACUUCGCAAGAAUGGGAAGAAUUAGUAGGGGUUAAUACCCUCUAUGAUGACGGUACCAUUUGUAAGCUCCGGCUAACUCCGUGCCAGCAGCCGCGGUAAUACGGGGGGAGCAAGCGUUGUUCGGAUUUACUGGGCGUAAAGGGCGCGUAGGCGGUCAGCACAAGUCAGUUGUGAAAUCUCCGGGCUUAACUCGGAAAGGUCAACUGAUACUGUGCGACUAGAGUGCGGAAGGGGCAACUGGAAUUCUCGGUGUAGCGGUGAAAUGCGUAGAUAUCGAGAGGAACACCUGCGGCGAAGGCGGGUUGCUGGGCCGACACUGACGCUGAUGCGCGAAAGCCAGGGGAGCGAACGGGAUUAGAUACCCCGGUAGUCCUGGCCUUAAACGAUGGAUGCUUGGUGUCUGGAGUUUUAUAGUCUCCGGGUGCCGUAGCUAACGCGUUAAGCAUCCCGCCUGGGGAGUACGGUCGCAAGACUGAAACUCAAAGGAAUUGAC
rnacentral:rRNA from 1 species